rnacentral:rRNA from 1 species
UGGAACUGAGACACGGUCCAAACUCCUACGGGAGGCAGCAGUGGGGAAUAUUGCACAAUGGGCGAAAGCCGGAUGCAGCAACGCCGCGUGAGUGAUGAAGGCCGUCGGGUCGUAAAACUCUGUCCUCAAGGAAGGAAAUGUCGGUACUUGGGGAGGAAGCCCCGGUUAACUACGUGACAGCAGCCUCGGUAAUACGUAGUGUGCUAUCGUUAUCCGGAUGUACUGGGCGUAAAGGG